rfam:Archaeon GW2011_AR16 QT07_C0003, whole genome shotgun sequence.
GAAUAGGGAAAUCAAAACACUAUUAGGGGGAUGACUAGGCUCAAGAGCUGAUGAAGGGUGUGCCAAGCGGCAAUACGCUCCGGCGAGGUGCAUGGAACCUUUGAACCGGAGAUUCCUUAAUGAGACUACUCUUCAAGUCCGACAAGGACAGGGAACGCAGGGAAUUGAAACGUCUUAGUACCUGCAGGAAAAGAAAUCAAUUGAGAUGCUGCUAGUAAGAGCGACUGAAAACAGCAAUGUGCAAACUGAAUCCCUUGCAGAAAUGCAAGGGAGAUGUGGUGUUGUAAGACUCUCAUUAAAACCUGAGUUUGUUGAUUCGAAGUUUCUUGGAACAGAAUACCUGAGAGGGUGAUAGUCCCGUAGAAGAAGACAAACAGGUGGAGAGAGUAUCUUGAGUACUGCAUAUCGGAUAUUAUGCAGGAAUUUGGGAGGCAUCUACUUCCAACACUAAAUACUCCUUGAGUCCGAUAGCAAAUCCAGUACCGCGAGGGAACGUUGAAAAGAACCCAUAACAGGGACUGAAAAAACUCUGAAACCUAAUAGUGCAGUUCGGUACGGCUCUACGGAGUUGUGCCGUGCGUUUGGAAUAACGAGCCAGGGAGUUUGUUCGUGUGGCAAGGAUAAUCUCAUAAGAGUAUCCGAAGGGAAACCAAGAGCUUGCAAGCAAUGAGAAGCGUGGUAUGAAAGUGCCAUAAGUCACCCGAACCAGACCCGAAGCCGAGCGAUCUAACCCUGAGUAAGGUGAAGUGCGGGUAAAACCGUGUGGAGGCCUGCAGAGGUUCUACGGGCAAGUGUUCUUCUAACUUGGGGCUAGGGGUGAAAAGCCAAUCGAGCUCGGUGAUAGCUGGUUCCUACCGAAGUUGGCCGCAGUCAAGUCUGAGCGGAGAUCGCAAAGAUGGUAGAGAGACGGAUUUCGAAUUUAGGAGGAGAAAUCCUUCGGUUCUUUGUCCAACUCCGAAUAUCUAUGCAUCGUAGAUGCUCAGAAACGGCAGUACGGGGUAAACUCGUGCUGCGAGAGGGGACCAACCCAGACUAGAGUUAAGGUCCCAAAAUAUUGCUUCAGUGUGAAAGGGUGAAAAGUGUCUAUUGCCGAAGACAGCGAGGAGGUUGGCUCAGAAGCAGCCAUCCUUUAAAAAGUGCGUAACAGCUUACUUGUCAAGGUGAUAGGCCUUGAAAAUGGACGGGGCUAAAGCAAUUACCAAUACUCUAGACUAGCAAAAAGCUAUGUGGUAGGUAGGCGCUCUGUUAGGGUAGAAGGAGUAAGGUAACUUACUCUGGACCUUACAGAAAUGAGAAUCCUGGUGGAAGUAGGACCGAAGUAGUGUGAGAAUCACUACCGCUGAAAGGGUAAGGGUUCCUUGACAAUGCAGUUCAGUCAAGGGUUAGUUGAUCCUAACCUAUCUCCUCAUUGGAGUAUAUGGGAAAGGGAAACCGGUUAAUAUUCCGGUACUACAGAAGUAUGUGCGGCGACGCAAGUCUCAUUUUUGACGUUUCUGGAUGGAUUGACAAGACAUGUCUGUCUUGCUAACAUGCAUACAUCAGAGGAGUGCUGUAAUGGCGAGAAUCUGUUGAAAGCAUGGAAUGGUAUCUCGUACGAGGUAUUCAGUUGAGACCAGGAGCCCAUGAAAAGAAAAUGGGAAAAAAUCUUUUGUAUUCAUACCCAGAACCAACACAGGUACCCUUAGGUGAGAAGCCUAAAGUGUGAGGGUGUUAAUCCGAUUAAGGGAACUCGGCAAAUUAGCCCCGUGCCUUCGGCAUAAGGGGUCCCUGCGGUUGUCGACUUUUGUCGGUGAUUGCAGGGCGCAGUGACUAGAUGGGUCCGACUGUUUAACAAAAACACAACUUUCUGCUAGCCCGUAAGGGUGUGUACAGAAGGUGACGUCUGCCCAGUGCCUGUAAUUCAAACUCCGGUUCAACGGAGCUAAGAUCAGGUAAACGGCGGGAGUAACUAUAACUCUCUUAAGGUAGCGAAAUGCCUUGCCGUUUGAAUGACGGCCUGCAUGAAUGGCGCAACGAGAUCCAUUACUGUCCCUAAUCGGAAGCCCCCGAACUCUCUUUUCCGGUGCAAAGGCCGGAGAUUCCCAGUGGGAAGCGAAGACCCCGUGAAACUUUACUGUAGCCUGUUGCUGUGAUACAAAAUUUGGUGUGCAGCGUAGAUGGUAGUCGACAAAGCCCAGUCGUCAGGUUGGGUGGAGACAAAGUUGAAACACCAUCCUCCGAAGUUUGUGUUGCUUACCGGCAUCUGCCGGAACACCAAUAGGUGGACAGUUUGGUUGGGGUGGCACACCGUUGAAAAUGUAUCGACGGUGCCCAAAGGUUAGCUCAGACGGGUCAGAAAUCCGUCGUAGAGUGCAAGAGCAUAAGCUAGCCUGAUUGGACCUCCAAGAAUACGAGUUCCAAAAACGAAAGUUUGGUCUAGCGAACCACUAUGUCCUCCUUGAUGGGGGCUAGUGAUGACAGAAAAGUUACUCCGGGGAUAACAGAGUUGUCGCGCCCGAGAGUUCCUAUCGACGGCGCGGCUUGCUACAUCGAUGUCGGCUCUUCGUAUCCUGCGCGUGCAGAAGCGUGCAAGGGUGUGGGUGUUCACCAAUUAAAACGGAUCGUGAGCUGGGUUCAGAACGCUGUGAGGCAGUUUGUUUGAUAUCUACUGGGAACGUGAGAUGUCUGAAGGGAAGGAUCUUCUAGUACGAGAGGAACGAAGGUUCGUGGCCUCUGGUCUAACAAUUAUCUGAUAAGGUACGUUGUGCAGCUACGCCAUAGCGGAUAAGUACUGAAAGCAUCUAAGUACGAAGCCGCCCCUGAAAAGAGAUAUCAUAGAACACGAGUAGAAGACUCGUUUGAUGGAACUGGUGUGUACGUACUAAGGUAACGAGGUACUCAGCAUGCAGUUACCAACGUUCAUUUUUCCCUAUUU